UUUUCUAAUAUGCUUGGGGCCGAGGGCUGUGUUCUUCAGUUGAAGAUGGAAGCAAAAACCAGUAUAACUUCAUUGGUUUGACCUCAAUCCAAAUCUGCAGGGCUGUGAAAGAGCCAGGAGCAGGCCACAGGAGAGCAGAAAGGCAGAACAAGGGUGGUGGAACAGCACGCCCAGCGGGUCCCAACGCGGUGCCCCCCAAGGUUUAUUUUGCAUUUUCACGAACAGUAAAAACCAGGAUUCCAGCAAAAACGUGCUGUCGUAUUGGCGCUGCUUCUCGUACAGGCGCAUGUGCAUAGGUCCAUGAACGCUGGGCACGCCUGAGCGAGACCCCUGCGAAGAGGGGUGUUAACGCCGAGGAAGCAUCAGGGCGAUGACCACGGGCCGCGAAGUCCAGCGCGGCGCUUGGUCUCGCCGGGGCGCACCUGUCGCGCCCAGGCGAAGGCCCCUCGCAGCGCGGCGAGCCUUGCCCGGGGGGCGCAGCGGCGCGCGGGAAAAGGCGGCGGCGGCGCCCGGCCCGACCCGGUUCCCCAGCUCCCGCGGGAGGGGCCGCGGUGCUCCCGCCCCUUCCCGGGCAGGAUGCGGCGAGCCGGAGCCGGGGACGGUGACUGAGGGAGCAGGGGCUUGAAGGAAGCUGGAGCCUCGCCAUCUCCCUGCCCUGUCAUCGCCUUGCUGUCUGGGCUGGGGUGUGGGCUUGAGGAGACGCCACCAGCUACAUCUCUCCGGCUGGAGUCACUCCGCCCAGCUGGUGAGGCCAGUUAGGAACCGGCAUCCAGAGAGCGCGGCCCACCUUGGUCGUGCCAGCGCAGCAGGCCUCCGCUGCGCUUGGACCAGGCGCGGAGCAGUAAUGCGAAAGGGAGCAAAGACCUUUGCGGUCUCACUUGCCUGGUGAAACGUCCCUAGCGGUUCCCUCCGCUACCCAAAGGCAGCACAAAAAGGGGUUUUGGCAGGAGCUCUGUUCAGCCCUGCUUCACUGGAAGCUGUGAUUGUGACCUGGUGUCUUGAAGGGCAGAAACAAAAGGCAAAUGGAGGAAAUCCUAGGGAGAAUCAGAAGCCUUGAGAAAGCACUUGCCGUGAUAAAAAGAGUAGUUUGCGUUGUUCCCAACCCGGUCGGUUCCACUAGGUUCUGUGAUGCGGCUUGCCUCUGUGUAUUUAACUGUUCAAAGCUACCGACUCAAGCAGCGAACUGAGUAGGAAGAGUUUUGUGUCUGUUUGUUACCUUCUCGUUGUGACUUGUACUGUUACCCACGAGGAAUUUCUAGGAUCUGUGUUUCUGACACCUAGUGUCUGAGGGUGAUUAUCUUGCAGAGUGAAGGAAGUGGGAUAUGUGUGAAUACAAGCUUUAGACAAGUGGUUCUCAAAUUUUUUAGUCUCGAGGCACCCCUUGGAAAAUGCUAGCUUUCACUGAUUUGUUGAGUACAGAAAAAUAAUAGAGAAUUUUUUGUUGCAGAGAAUUAAUGCUGACCUGUUGUGGUCUUUCUGUUUCCACAGCACAGAUGCAGGAUAGGCUGGCCAUGCUUCCUCUACACAGCUAAAUAUUUCACCCUCAUGUUCAUCACUGACAAGAGGUUUGACUUGAAGGGGUUAGGGCCAACCUGGUUUGUUUAGACUUAGAUACCCAUCAGACUAGUUGUUGCAGACCAGGUCCACAUGCAUGCCUACCUACUUUGGUUUAUCUUGUCCCUUGUUGAGCCUUAGUCACAGCACUCUAUGUGGGAUUUGAGAUUACAUCUUUCAUGCCACAGAUGUCUGACAGUGUGCAAGAAAAACUGCAAACAGCAUCCAAGUGCGGCAUGUCUCAACAGGACCACUGUGGCUGUCUUUCAUUCAGUUUCUUGACCCUACCAGUGCUGGUCUUAAAUGCAAGCAUUUUUCCUGUGCAGGCUCUAAAGGACUUUCUACUUCAAAAAUGCAACAUAUAAAAUAAAAAUAUGAGGAACUGGUGGAUUGUGAUUUUG
rnacentral:lncRNA from 1 species